rnacentral:rRNA from 1 species
UUAAUCAGCCAUGCCACUCUGAACAAGCCUGAUCCCGUCUGAUCUUGGAAGCUAAGCAAGGUCAGGCCUGCUUAGUACCUGGAUGGGAGACCACCUAGGAAGACCAGGUGCUGUAGGCG